rnacentral:tRNA from 1 species
GUCUUCGUGGCUCAGUUGGCUAGAGCGUUGGUCUCAUAUCAUAUGACCCAGUCGUAGGCUGGGCUAUCCAAAGGUCGUGAGUUCGAGCCUCACCGAGGACA